CCCACAUGAUUCCCAGGCAGGACGCGCCCCGCUACAACAUGAUUGGCUCCUGCAUCGCGGGACGAGCAUGCUACGCAGAUGUAACGAGAUGACCGUCCCUAACAUAUAUCACAUUUGAACGAAAUAAAAAUAAAAAAGUGUGUAAGGCUUUAGGGGGUUUAGGGCGGUUUAGGAUGGGUGACUGUUAGGGUUAGGGUUAGCGAGAAACAUUAACGCCGUCACACUUAAAUCACAUACGUUUCCCGUCUGGAAGCAGUAGGGCAUGUUCAACAGUGAUACAACAGCCAAUCAUAGUGCAGCGGCGUGUGUCCUGUCUGGAAACUCUGUGGGAAUCCUAAUAACGCGCUACAGUUGCGGAAGUAAACCGGAUGUUGUGGCGUGUCGUAACAUACACGCAUCCAAUACAGCGUUUGUCACCACAGUAACAGUAUUACAGUAAUGUUUACAAUACGCGUUUGUAACAUUUAUUUGAACGUGCCAGUGCCUGUUUACGAAGCAGAACUGGCACAUCCAAUAUGGCGGACGUGCUGACGUUCCACAGCAACUCAAUGUGGGUUCUAUUUACUUGUGCUGCAUAACCCUGUGUUAGCAGCUAGCGCUCUGGACGGCCGAUCGUGUGCGAAGCUCGCUGGACGGAGAAUCGCCGAUUGUUUUGCCGAACUGGCCCACUGUAAUUUGGAACGACACACGUCCAUCGUUUUCUCCAAUUGUCCAUCCGAUGAAAAGACGUUGUUGUUGGCGUGGCAGGCGAAGAUGUGCGAGGAGCAGACGGUGUCUCUGGUGGACGUCGUGCAGGAGGACGACGAGCUGCAAGAAGAAGCUUCCGCCGUGCUGGCAGGAAGCGACUCGGAGCGCUGCUCGUAUCCGCAGGGCUACGUGAAGCGUCAGGCUCUGUACGCCUGCAACACGUGCACGCCGAAAGGAGGCCAAGCGGCCGGCGUAUGUUUGGCGUGUUCCUACAAGUGUCACGAAGGUCACGACCUGUUUGAGCUCUACACCAAGAGGAACUUCCGCUGCGACUGCGGAAACGGGAAGUUUGCGGACGUGCCGUGUAAACUCUUUCACGCCAAGGAUGACGUCAACGGCUUGAACAAAUACAGUCACAACUUCUUCGGGGAGUACUGCACUUGCCGCCGGCCGUACCCCGACCCGGAAGACCAGGUGGACGAUGAAAUGAUUCAGUGCGUGUUGUGCGAGGACUGGCUGCACGGCCGGCACCUCGGCUGCGACGUCCCCGACUGCGUGGAACUGCGCGAGAUGAUCUGCGAGUCGUGUAUGAACGCAAACGCCUUCCUGUGGAGCUACGCCGCUCGCCUGGCAGGCGCCGCUGCGGUCGAGUCGGACGUGGCGAAGGAGACGGGCGCGGGCGCCGUUCGGGCCGACGAGGAGGACGACGCCACGGAGCCGAGCCGCAAACGAGUUCGCGUGGGGGAAGGGGAGCCGAGCUGCGGACUGAAGGCGCUUCAGAGCGCCGGCGCCGAGCGGCCCGGGUGCGGAGCGGUCUUCUGGCGUUCGGGGUGGCGCUCCCGGCUGUGCCGCUGUGACGCCUGUCAGGUGGGAGCCGGCCGCCUUCCCCGUUGGCAGGUGAGCCCGCUGACGCGUGCGGCGAUGCGUUCAGGCGAGUCUGUCGGCGGCGGGUCUCUCCUUCCUGCUGGACGAGUCGGACACGGUCCUGGCGUACGAGAAGAAAGGCGAGAGCGAAGAAGGCGGCGCUCCGGGUCACGACCCCCUCAUGUCGGUGCUGGACAACCUGAACCGCGUGCAGCAGCUGGAGAUCAUCCACGGGUACAACGACAUGAAGAGCGAGCUGAAGGACUUCCUGCAGGGAUUCGUCGCCGAAGGGAAGGUCGUGACCUCCGACGACAUUCGGCAGUUCUUCGAGCGGCAGCAAAGUCGCAAAAGAAGACAAGCGGACGGCCGCUUCCACUGCGCCUGACGCCCUCCGACCCUGGACCCCGUCCGCUUGUUCUUUUGACUCAUCUUCACUCUAUUUUCUUUUUAAUGAAAAAUAAAAAGCCGUCAACGAUGGAAGCUUCUGGAUUGGUCUUGUUUUUUGGAUGCGUCGCACGAUCAGGAAGUGUGAAAGUGAAAGGAAUUGAAAUGACAUUCAUCUUUUCCAGCACCCCAAAAAACAUCACAAAAUGAUUUCAUGAAAAAAAAAAAAGGACUUUCCGAGAGUGUAAGCAGGCCAAAAGUCACACACAGGAGCACGGCUUUGUGUGUGCGUGCGUGUUUGUUGUUCGUAGCGGCAUGUUUUUCUUCAAGCGUGUUUCCAUCACGUCAAGUCUUUUCUUGUGUGGACAAAAUGUAAUCAGCUCUUCUGUUGACUCUGAAGGCCCCCCCCCGCCGCCGCCCUCAGCCCACCCCCCCCUCGCUGCGUACGUGAGCAGCAAGCGAAGACGACGACAUUACAGAGCGAGCGCAGCCCGGCGCGACGAGCGGCGAUGAAGAAGGUCGUCCGGGGUUUUCUCGGCGGCGCCGAGCGGGUCCCGGCGAAGGCGGGCGCGGCCUUCGUCCACAGCAAACCUCCCAGGCGGCGCAUCGGAGCCGGGGUGAGAAGCUUUCCGUCGUAACGGGUCAACGGGAGGACGAGACCGAGACGGUCCGCUCUCGGCGCCGCUUUUUCCCCUCGCGAAGCGGCGACGAGCGUUUUUCUGUUUGGUGAGCACGUGCCGAGGAAAACGUCAAUAAAGUCCAACAUGCAUGUGGUGCUUUUAAGCUGCCCAAAGUUUUUUGGUCAUGUCCGUGUUUGCGGUGGCCAUGUUGGCGCCGGCGGCGUGGAUCGUCCACCAUCUGCCCGAAUAUCGCCGCAGGAGCCGCCGGAAGCCCGCCGGCUGAAAGACGCGUCCGGCGAGCUCGACGUCCUCGUCCUCCCGCCGCGUUUCCCUUCACGUCAACGUCACAAUAAACGGAAACAAACAUGCAAAACGGCUCUUCUUCUUUUGCGUCCU